rnacentral:rRNA from 1 species
GAUGAACGCUGGCGGUCUGCUUAACACAUGCAAGUCGAACGGAAUCCUUCGGGAUUUAGUGGCGGACGGGUGAGUAACGCGUGAGAAUCUGCCUUCAGGUUCGGGACGACAGCUGGAAACGGCUGCUAAUACCGGCUGUGCCGAGAGGUGAAAGCUUUAGUGCCUGAAGAUGAGCUCGCGUCUGAUUAGCUAGUAGGAGUGGUAAUGGCACCCCUAGGCGACGAUCAGUAGCUGGUCUGAGGGGAUGAUCAGCCACACUGGGACUGAGACACGGCCCAGACUCCUACGGGAGGCAGCAGUGGGGAAUUUUCCGCAAUGGGCGCAAGCCUGACGGAGCAAGACCGCGUGAGGGAAGAAGGUCUGUGGAUUGUAAACCUCUUUUGAUGGGGAAGAAGACAGUGACGGUACCCAUCGAAUCAGCCUCGGCUAACUCCGUGCCAGCCGCCGCAGUAA